GACGAACGCUGGCGGCGUGCUUAACACAUGCAAGUCGAACGGUAAGGCCCUUCGGGGUACACGAGUGGCGAACGGGUGAGUAACACGUGGGUGAUCUGCCCUGCACUUCGGGAUAAGCCUGGGAAACUGGGUCUAAUACCGGAUAGGACCACUGCCUGCAUGGGUGGUGGUGGAAAGCUUUUGCGGUGUGGGAUGGGCCCGCGGCCUAUCAGCUUGUUGGUGGGGUGAUGGCCUACCAAGGCGACGACGGGUAGCCGGCCUGAGAGGGUGACCGGCCACACUGGGACUGAGAUACGGCCCAGACUCCUACGGGAGGCAGCAGUGGGGAAUAUUGAACAAUGGGCGCAAGCCUGAUGCAGCGACGCCGCGUGAGGGAUGGCGGCCUUCGGGUUGUAAACCUCUUUCAGCACCGACGAAGCGCAAGUGACGGUAGGUGCAGAAGAAGGACCGGCCAACUACGUGCCAGCAGCCGCCGCGG
rnacentral:rRNA from 1 species